GCGGGCCUAGGAAAUUCUAUGGGCCGGUGAAAAAUCCUCUAACAACUAUGUUUUCUGUUUUCUGCAAAUCUUAGCUUGUUUUCGGACGUGGCUUUUUAGUUGGAUUGGAGAGGAAAGUCUUAAAGAUAAUGGAAAUGGAGGGCAACAAGCAGGAGAGUUCACCUUCCUCAAUCACUGCUGAUCUUUUUGGUGCCAAAGAGUCACCACCAUCCUCGUCAUCAGGAAUUUUUGCCUCCAUUUUUCCACCUCCAUUAACGCUGGUUGGGAGGAACUCCUUGGGCACUGAGAUAAUGGGAUCUUCGCAAAAACAACCUUCAGGAAAUCAAGCAUGGAACAUGAAACAAGGAACUCCAGCUAUCAGUAGUGGUGCUGCACGCUGUAGCAUACCCAACAAGGACAGGAGUUCAAUUUUCCAAGAAAGAGUGGAACCAUGUCAUCUAAGUUCAUCUCUUUAUUAUGGUGGACAAGACAUCUGUUCCCAGUUCCUAAGUACCCAAUCCUCUGAAUCAUACCCUCAAUUGAACCAAAAUCCGGGAGAAGAUGAUCCAAAUGGAAACAACUCACACAGUGUGUCUCGAGGAAACUGGUGGCAAGGUAUUGAUGUUGUUAAUGAAAAUUCGGCUGCGAAUCAGCAGAGAUUAUAUAUGGUUGCAGACUAAACUAAGGAAUUCAUGGAGAUUUGGUCGCCAAGUAUGGCAGACAAUCUGCAAUAUAAAGAAUACCCGAAAUAGCUUUAAAUCAAAAAAGAGCAGCUAAUGCGGUUGAACAAUGUUUAUCGAGUAAUUUUACGUAUAACCGUGAAAUGUGUAAACCGUAAUUGCUUUGAAAAAGAAUAUUUCAUGGCAUAGUAAAGAAUAAUAUAACUUCUUACCAACUGUCCAAUGGCGGACUCUGUAAUGCUGGCCACCCUUGUUAGCCCCAUCACUUGCUUACCAGAAAUCAUUGCUUCCAACGGAGAAUGAACCAACCCCUGAGCUCCAAGAGUUCAGAUCUACAAAACCAUCGAUAGCUAGCAUAAAUGAAAAGGCCAAAAGGGACAAGAAUCACCAGUGGCCCGCUUGCUGCGAAAAAGUACACAAACUCUCACAAGCCAAUACCCCCAGCAUGAUCUGAACCAAAUCCACCAGCUUCAUCGACAUGAACACGCACCCGAAUGGUGGGGACCCGAUCAUCGAGACGUGUAUCCCAACAACACGCAAAGUGGCCGCGUUCUGGCGGCUCCUUGGUGACAGAAGCAUCUCACCUCGCCUCCAAUCCAAGGUUCACCGCCAGCUUUCGGGACUUUGAUGGCUUGUUAGAGACUUGAGAGGCCAAGACGAUGAGACUGGAGAAGAAGAAGUCGCCGAAGGAGAGGGAGUAGUCGUGGAUGGAAGUCGGCAAGGUCGCAUGGCAAAAACGUUCGAGAAAAAUUGAAAAAUAAACGCCGUUGCCGGGGAUCGAACCCGGGUCACCCGCGUGACAGGCGGGAAUACUUACCACUA